rnacentral:lncRNA from 1 species
ACAAAGUAUACAUCUAAUUACACACUAUAUCAACAUGGUAUCUUCUAGACUAAGAACAUGCAUGUAUGCAUAUUCAUGGCGAGGUAUAUUGAUAUGAGAUAAUGUAACUCAUAUCAAUAUACACAAGUAGCUAAACCAUCAAUAUAUAUGCUUAUAUAAGAACACAUUUAAAAAUUAUAAAAGCGGAAACCAUGAGUAAUAAAACAUUUUUCCUUAGAAAGGGAUUUCGCUUUAUACCUAAUGGGGUUCAUUACUAUCUUCCAAGGGGAAAAUUAGGUAAGCAAAUAGAUAGCACAAAAAAUAAAUAAUAGUGAUACGGCAUUCUCAGGAAAGUGCUCACAAAAUGAAUAAAUUAGGUAUUCUGAUGGUUAUCAUAGGGCAAGGUAAAACAAACAAUAAAGCUGAACUAAUAAUACAUCACUCAAUUAUGUGAUAACUCCUCACCUUUCAACUGGCCAUUCCUUCCCAUCUCUUCGAGCUGUUCAACGUAAUUGACAAUCCUUUUUUGUUCUGCUGCACUAAAGAUAGCUUUAUGUAACUCCAGCCCAUCGAGUAUGUUUACAAGUUUCCCAUUGAUCCUUUCCAAACAUAUAAAGUCCUUUUUCCUUUGGACCCCAUAGAACCGAAUGUAUUCUCUCUGAUCCCUCGACAAUGCCACCUUCGGUUUAGCUUCAGCCACUGAUGUUCCUUCCGGAAAAGAAUCAUUCGCAUCAACAAGCCCAUUGCUCACAUCAUUGUCUUCUUCUGCCGCAAGCUCAUCCUCCAUAGCCAUAUCUGCCCAAGACUUUUUCAACCUAGGGCUUGCAAUUCGUGCCGAAGAGUUUAAUGCUUCGCUUGUUGAUGAUGCUUCAACAGCUUGUUCUGAUAAUUGAUCGGCCUCAUCCUUCCAACUACCCAAUGAAUGUGUAUCAUCAUCGUCAUAGUUAUCUGCACUGUCUUUGGCACUCCCAGUGGAACGGGCACUACAGUUACCAGAGUCUUCCUUACAGUGAUUCACAUCUAAAAUACUUGGUGUAGAAACAGCAGCAUCCCGUUCUACAUUCACAAAUUUCACAACUUAAUUAAGUGAUUAACAGCCACCUAAACAUAUAUAUAAAAGCGCGCAAACUUGAUAAAAUCUAUCGAAUUGUUAGAAAUUCAGUAUAAAAACCCUAAUAAGUUGAACUUGAGUCAAAAGAAAAAUAGAAACUACAGUGCCCUGCUAGUGGGUAAGAAAAAGUGGGAGUUUUGUAAACAAAAAUAAUGAAAUUUCGCAAUUCCGUGAAGAAAUUUCCACAGCAAAAUAAGAUAGAAUUCCUGAUUUCAAUAGCAAACUAAAAUUUUGCCGAGGAAAUUGAUGACAAUCGUGGAAGAGCAACAGAAUAACUAAACAAAACAACAUAAUUAAAGCAGCACACAAACAUAAUCCAGUCACAUGCAUAUGUACCGAUCAUGAGGAGGAAAUCGAGUAUUGAACUACACACCUGUGUGGAGAGAUCGGAUGCUGUCGGAGAUCGUCUGCGUGCAAGAUUUGCAGAGGCCGCGAGCUAAGAACGGCAACCAAUUGGACAAGAAUUCGGCAGCGAUCCGGACUUCGUUGUCGUCGUAGCUAAGGAGGAAGGGGUCCGUGUUUUGAGCUUUCGCGUGGCUAGUCAUGGCGGAGGAGUCGCCGCAGAGAGAGAGAGAGAUGCCUGAGUCGAGUCUUCAGAUAGACAAUAUAUUAUACAUCAUAUAUUAUAUGGAGUAUGUAUGAAGGGAAUAAUAAAUCUGUUGUAAGAAUUUGGUACCUAAAAGAAUUCAACCAAAGGGAAAUUCCAGAAAACAUAGGAGUCCUAGGGUUUUGGGGCAAAAUAUUAUCUUUAUUAAUAAUAAAAUAAUCUAAGUAAUGAAAUAUCGAGGAAACUACGACGCUUUGGGGUUUUGGGGGAAUAUAGUAUUUUUUUGAAUUAUUAAAACAAAUUAUUGGAACAUAUUGCUUUUCCUUGAAUUUUGUAUUUUCCUCGGGCGAGUUGCAUAUGGUUUGACCAAUGCUUUCUAUCUCAUCAAAUCAAACAAAUUUAACUACCCAAAUAAUAGGAUAAAGAGCAUGUAUUUCUAUAUGUUAAGAGCUACAUGUAUCACAAAAUUAAUAAUCAUAAUUUUCACUUUCUGACACGUAAUAUCGAUAUAUUGAAUAUACUUAUAUGACCUGCAGGGAUCGAGCUAAAAUUUUAAAAGUAGAAGGGAAAAAUUAUAUUUUUUAUAUUUGAGAACAUGUUUGGAUGAAAGAAAUUACAAAUUAAUAUAGUAAAAAAAUUAAUACUAUAUAUAUAAAAUACAACCAAAAUAUAAUAAUUAAAAAAUUAUUCAAAAGACGGCCGAAAUCGAGCUCGAAAGUUGACACGGUAUAACACGAUUAUGUGAUAUAUGCCCUAACAUGAAAUCACUCAAAUAAUAUGAGCUAACAAAUACUAUGACAUAACCCAAUCAUGAAUCAAAACUGGCAUAACACAAACACAUGAUUUUGUUAGGAGCAUGAUUCCGCCGAAUUUCUCAUGGGAUUAGAUUACAUUGAAUAUGACAUGUAACUCUUCAAUGUUUAUGUUUUUUUCUUUUUUGAGACAUCUAAUGUUCAUGUUUUUAACUUAUAGUAAUAAAAUAGAAUGUCUUUCUUUACAAUGCACUGUAAUAACAACGUUCAUUUUUUUUAUUGGUCAAGCGAUAAGGAGUUAAUGCAUAAGAUCAAAAGUCUUGAGUUCGAGUUCCCUGUGGCGCGGCCUUUAAAUUUCUUUAUUUAAAAUUAUUAAUUUAUUUUUAUAAAUAACAUCUAAAUUCACAAGAAAACUAUGGUAAUUUGCUGGGAAUUAGUGGGAUUAAAUAGUAAAUAUGAAAACAAAAUUUGAGCACAUAAAUUUAGUGUAUUUAUUAGUUCAUUUCAAAAUUUAAAUGAAUGAGUCAUUAAUGCCUAAAAAUUGCUAUUUGAAACAGUUAGAUAAUUAGUUUCUUUCGUUUAUUUGUUCAAUGGGUGAUGUUUAGCCCUUUUUUUCUAGAUGUAGUAAUUUUCGGGCAAUAUCUAUAUAUGUUUUUAGUUCGUUUGAUUUUUCAAUGUUUCUGUCACUUGUGGACAUCGUCGUUUAUGUGAUACUAGUGAAUUGUUAUUUACAGGUUGGGGGCAGCCUAACUUCACCCCCCGAGUGUUUGUUUUCAACAAAAAAAAUCUCACUCUUCUUAGUUGCAUUAAACAUUAUUAUAAUUAAAAUAUAUAUAAAUAAAAAUUACAAAAAUGAAUAUCUAACAAAAAUAUAGGAAAAGAAAUAAAAUUAAUACAAAAAAAUAGAAAAAAAGCAUAUGUUAAUUAUUAAUAGGAAAAAGAGACAAACAAUAUUUUAAAUUUUUGAUAACUUAUUUAUUUUAGAUUCAUUUUUUAUAAUUUUUAUAUCAUAUUAAAAAUCUUGUCAUGAACUUAAAUUUAAGACACAUUAUGCAUAUUUGUUCAUGAAUCAAAUUUAACAAUAUUUAGAUAAAAAUCAAAAUUAAAAAGAAGAAAAUAGAGAAUAAAUUAGCAGGAGAAGAGAGAAAAUUGAAGGGAAGAAAUUGAGGGGAAAAAACGCCCUUUUAUAGUAUAUGGAUAUAGAUACUAUCAGGUGCCAAUAUUGGAUUACAACUUGCAAAAAUGAAAUUCAACUAUUCGUGGCUUUAAAAAGUUGAAAUCAAUCUAAUUUAAGAACUUCCACACAAUCGUAGUUGGUAACAUUUGUUCUGCUAAUAUAAAAGAAGAAGAAAAAGGGCAAGAAAAUCCAUAGUUCGUUGAAUACAGCAAAUCAUUCUCAACAGCAGAGGCAACCAAGAUUGAAUCUACAGUAAACUUACAAACAAACAUAUCGCAAACAUCAAGCUUUGACACAAAGCACUGCAAAAUAUAUGCAGUCUUAUUCCCUUGAUGGGAAAUCACAAGAAAACAAAGCACAACAUGCCCUCGGAGUUUCACAGCUCUAGGCAACACUCACAGUUUGAGCAGGAACCUCUCUCAUGCUUUUGCACCUGCAAAUACAAAAGGGCCAUCGUAAACUCUCAAUGAAGGCAAAUCGGACUCCCAAGUCCUCUUCAUUUGAACCACAGUUAGCAAACUAAGAUGAUUUUAGUGAAUCAAACAAAUGAUUACACUAAAUCCAUUGCUACUCCAAAGUAUACACGGUAUUGUUCAGGAAAACAUGGAAAGCAGAAUAAAACAGAGUCAAAUUCUUUUCUAGCUUAGGAUGUUACUAAGCAGUUUUAUUAUCUAAUAUACUAUCAACUUCAUCUUAAAUUACUCACCUAUUACAUUGUUCUCGUGAGGCAUAAUUGUGAUUAUUGCAAUUUGAACACAUCCAAUCCCCAUCACGCCAUUGCUUUGCUCUGCAUACCACAAAGAAGGUAGCCUUCAGAUAUACAAAAAGAAGCUGUGAAAAUACGAUGAAGUCAAACUCUAUGAUUUUUAAGACAGUAGAUUCUCUAUCAAAUCAUCAACAGUACUUCACGAAGAUAACUAGGUUUGUGUAUCUUACUUUUUUCUAUAUUACUAUUACAUUGAUCAUACAAAAUUUGUAAGCAUUAUAAACUCAGUUUACCUUCAAUAUUUCUAAAUACUGCUGCAGUACAUGUAAUCUGACAGAGACAGAUUUAUAAAUAAGUGAAAAAGGAAAGAAGGCUGUAAAGGAAGGGGGAAAAGGCAGCAGAGAUACAGAUAACGAGAAUUACUCCCAUAAACUGCACACAAAAAUGUGAUAUUAACCGACGCUGCAUCUAGAAAGGAGUCCUCUUUUACCCUUUCCCAACAAGUGCAGGAGCUGGUGGCAGGCGAGACACUUGAAGGUUGACUUGCCAAUUUGGGGGAACUGGAGUAUUUCCACUGGGAAUGGGAGGGUACAUAUUGUUCAUUUGACUUCCACCAGGACUUUGGAAUGAUUCAAGCCCUGAAUUUGGUUGCUGGAGCCCAUAUGCCUGUCAGUUAGCAGAUAAGGGUUUAAAUGAAAAAUAGCACCAAAACAAUAUAAAUAGGGAACUAUAUCUGCUAUAUAAGUUAAACUCAUGCUAAAAAUAUGCCCAUACUUGUCCAGCAUUCAGUCUCUUAUUAUCGAAGUUGUGAACAAAUUCUUCAGACGCCAGGCGUUUUGUUCCAAGAGCUUAAACAAAAGAGCAAACACAAUAUCACUAGCUUCUUCAGAUAGUAGACCCGAUAGUUGGGUUAAAUCAAAGUUUGAGCGUGCUGACCAAAAAUGCAUGUAUAGAACUUGAGGUCAAGACAUUAUGAAUCAAACCCAAAUACUUGGUGGUUGGAAUAAGAGAUUUUAAGCAUGGCAAUCAUAUCUGCUAUGAAUUCAUCUCAUGAGAGCAAAAUGAAAUCUUGUAACUUAUUCUUAUGUUUCGAGCGCAGUAAGGUACGUAAUACAAAUGAGUAUUGUCCAUAAGUUAAGAAUUCACAUCGGUUUUUUUAGGUUUAAUUCUCAAGUUAGAACUUGGGAAGAGAGGAGCAAGUACUCUGUCCUCCUUAUCUUUCUUCAAUGAAUCAGUGAAGCCCAAUGCAAUUCAAAACAGUGCAAGUUUUGUCAAGGGAUUCAGGAUAUACCUUUAGUUUCCUCAUUAUAUGAUUGCAAGCCCCAAACUGUCUCCACAUUAUUAUUAUUAUAACUUACUAUACUCCACAAGUUUAAGAAUGAACUCAGUAAUAGCCAAAUGUUCUAUGCCUCAUGCUUCCCUAUCUUUGAACACAUACAAAAAAGUUUAGAACAAAAAACAUGGAGAAAAAGAUAGAAUCAUAGAAGACGCCACUUCUUCACACAGGAUAACUAGAAAUAGAAUAAAGGAAUGAUAUGCUAAAUUAUGUGCUUUCUUAUCAAAAAAUAGAAAACCGAAAAGUAAAACUAAUUAGUUAUUAUGGCAGAUUUCAAAUUCAUCUCCAAUUGUGCCAAUCCAAAUAGGAACCAAAAUCAGGUGGGCUAAGGAAGGGAAGACAAUGUAUGACAUCAACAAAUAUACUAGAUCCAAUGGAUUCAUUCAGAGCAUUACUGAUUUGGAAAACACCAAUAAUUACUUUCAACUUUUAUCAGAUACACACACCUGUUACAGGGCUGACUAAAGAUGCAGGUGCUGAUAUUGGUGCUGGGGCAUUGCACUUUUUGCACUGCAAACGUAAAACUGAGAUGAAUAGGCUACAAGAUUUUCCAACUAGGAUUCAUAAAGCAACAUCAAAGAGAAGGCAAAAGUAACUACUAUUCCAGACAACCACUGAGGAAUAAUAAACUAAAUUGGAGAUCACAGUUUUUAGUGAUAUAAACGAAAUUUUUGAGGUAGACUCCUCAUGAGUAAAACCUUCCUCAUCAGAUCAACAUCAGAUCAAGACAAGACCUCAAAAAGUAUAUACCUAGUGACAAUCAACAGGCUCAGGAAUAAUUUAAUCAUUUCCUAUCAUUUCUCAACAUCACCAUUCUAGCAGCAAACUGCAUGCAGUUAAUACUUUGAAAGCAAAACUCCUCUCAAACUUAUCAACAACAGCCGCAUAAUACCAAUUCAAUUUCUUAUUAUUUUUUUCCCAUAAAUUGAUUUUAUAUCCACAAAUCUGAGGAAAACUAUCAGCUUGGGUGCUUACUAUACUUGUGCAUACCUGUAAACGUGAGGAAUAAUUGUGGAAGCCACAAGUACACAUCCAAUCACCACUACGCCAUCCAUUACCAUUAGGAGCUGGUGAAAGUUGAUUUGAUUGGCUAGAAUAUGAAAGUCCAGAUAUGCUGCCACCUCCCAAAGGCCAAUUAGAUGCUGACUGAAGUCCAUAAGGAUCACUAGGCUGGUUUCCAUAUUGACUGGUCCCUCCAACAGACCAACCAGAGCUCAAAGAGAUUGAUGGAUGGAGAGAUCCAACAUUCAACAUUUGUUCCAUUCCUCCUCGGGCCCUGGCAAAAUAAGUUGGAUGAGUAGGGACAGAAGCUCCGGGGAUUGCAACUGCCGGCAUUGCUGCUAGCUCCUUAGGUUGGCCACACUUUUUGCACUUUUCUCUUGAUGCAUAAUUGUUGUUAGUGCAACCUAUUCCAUUGCACACACACGCAACCCAGAAUGCAGCCACGAAGUAGAUACAAGCGAAGAAUACGCACGCCAACCCGCCAUCCAAUACCAAAAUACACAUACACAAAACACAAAACAACUCAACCUAACUGAAAUCAACUUUCUUAAUUAUUGCAAGAGACGUACUAAAUUGUACAACACUUGGUAAAUAAAUAAGAAGAUUUCAACCAACACACAUAUGAAAUAUUGGCGUGUUUAUCACAUCAUCAGUCCAAGAUUAGUGUUAGCCUAGCCAUAAAAGAGCCAAAUGGUAAAAGGUGGAAGGGUGAAGGGGAUGAAAUUGAAACACCAGCAAUAUGUGUAAAAUGGAUGAACACGUAGUAAAACAUUAAGUUCAUGGUACUUCAUAUAUUUCCUCGUAGAAGAACUGCUGAAAUUCAUACAAGGCAUUCUACCAACUAACACUGCCCAGUCUGCCACUACCAAUUGUCGACUUUGAGAAGGAUCCUAGAAACUCAAUGUAAGAAAUACUAAGUUCAGAAAAUCUGAUAUGGACAAAAAGCCAACACGUCUAACUGUAAAAGGAAAACAAGGAUCCUUUGAACAGAAAUUAACCGGAUAAUUGGCACGAUAAAAAUCGCUAUUCAUGAAAACUAAAAUUCACACUCUCAUAGUCAUAUCCAGUCUCAGCAGCAAUUACAGUAGCCAGUUCCCACAUCCUAUAUUUAUUAAAUGAUUAUCAGUCAGCAUAUCAAUUAGAUUCACAACCAUCAUUGACUACAUUCAAGCAUGAGCUGCUUUGCACUUCCAAGUCCGCGAGCUAAGAUAAGUCCAGCAGCAACAAUUCACGGUAUCGUGAUAAGCACAGCGGAUUAUAUACCCAAUUUAACUCCACCAACAAAAACCAGGGUUUAAAAAUAACUUCUAUUGCAGGAUUUCCAAGUGGACCAACACCAUCAAAUAGCAACGAAAUACGACAUUGGAUAACAUACCGGUGCAGAUCCAAUCGCCAAUCCGAGGAAGCCACUUGGAGUCGGCAGGGGUUUUGGUGUCGACGAGAAGCCGCGGCUGCUUGCAACGAUUGCAGAAGGAUCGGAAGGCAUAGUUCCGAUUGUGGCAUCCUCCGCACUCCCAGUCGCCUUCUUUCCCGCCGCCGCCAGCUCCGCCGCCUACCAUAUCUUUGUUUCUGUACGUUAAUUUUCCGGCACUAGCUCACGGUUCUAGAUGGAAGCUGCGGCAAAUGCUUCGCUUUAAAUUUGGGAAAAAUCUCAAAUCGCUUCGCUACGGAUCUUCAGGUGUUACUUUACCUUGGUUUUGCACUCUGCCCCCUUAACAAUUUACUACUUUUCAGUUUGCACCCUGUAAUAGUAGAGUUGAAAAAUUAAGAAAAAAUUAUAAUGGUGUGAAAUAUAGAGUAGUGGAAAUCAAUAGUUGUCCAUGUAUUUUUUCAUCGACUGUGGCGCUUCACCUUCGUCUUCGAUUUAAGGUUUCGAAUAUAUUUUUCUAAUCAUAUGUGGUAUUUGACCAUUUGAUUUUUGUGUUUCUUCAUAAAAAAAUUAAUUUUUCAAAUUUAGUCGUGAUAUUUCGUUCAACUAUAUUUUGAAUUUAGAUAUAUGGUACACAUGAUACAUAUUAGAAUUAUUCGUACCAGGCGUGCCAAGGACACUACGUGCCUGAACUCGUACCAAGUGUUACGCGCCAGUUCUUAGGACGAAUGGUACAAUUUGGUUCAUUUGUAUCAUUCGUGUCAAAAGAUUGCGUUUUAGUUCUUAGGACAGAUGGUACGAAAUAACCACAUUUGUACUAGUUGUUCCAAGUAUUGUGCACUACAGAUGAAUGGUACGAUAGAAUUUCAUUCAUACCAUUCAUUCCAAAAUUCGUGGCAUGAUGCUCACGGUUGUUGUGCACCGCCGCACUCGCGUAAAAAAAAUCUGACCAGAAAUAUAUGAGCCACAUUUGAAUCCUUAAGUUGAUCUAUUUUGACUACAGGCCCUGACAUACAAUUUUUUUAGUCUUCAAAAGAACUUUUUGUGGCCACCUGAAUCACCUCAAUUGGAGUUCUGUAGAAAAAGUUAUGACAAUUCUACAAAAAAACUGUUAAAAAUCAUAAAGGCGACGAUACGGUGGUGACGAAAGACGGCGAAGUUCACUGAAUUCUAAGGAGACAGACGGUGGUUUCACUGGGUUAAAUGAAAGUGUUGGUCGUUGGUGGCAGUGAAUUGGAGAAGAGAAUGACUUGGCUCAGGUGAUGGCGGCGACAUCGCCGAAUUUUAGAAGAUCGACGACGGUGGCCAGUGAGGAAAAAAAAAAGACUGAGAGAGACGUGGAAGUAGAAAGAGAGAAAUGAGAAAUGAGUUUCAAAAUAUAGAUUUAAAUUUGAAUGAGUUCAGGGGUAUUCUCGUCCAAAAAUUCAUAAAUUGGCUAAAAUUUUGUGAAAUAAUGUCGGUGGACAACUAUUAAUGAACCCACAAUUGUUCUUAUUUUUAUGUCUGUUUUUUAGGCUUAGAUAGAGUCUCAUUCCUUAUUUUUGUUAGUGUCUUGUUAUUGGGAUGACACAAUCUAGAGAUGAAGCUUUUUGGCAAUAACAUGUGUAGGUAAAUGCAUUUUUUUAGUGCUUUGAUACUACCAAUUGAGGUGUCAACAACAUAUAGGAUCAUCAAGGUAGCAGACAAUCAUGUAAAUCUCCCUCGACUGACGAGGGCUAGUCUACAUCUUCAUCGCCUUGUCCAAACAUCAUUGGACUAGGCUAUCUAUCAUGGCUCACUCGAGCUGAUGAGUAUGAUGUGAGGCAGAUCUCCUUAAAGAAGCACACGUAAAUGAAUAUUGAUCAAAGGUCGAAUGAUGCUAUCCACUAACGCGAGGCUAAUCAUCAGGAUGUGCCGAUGUAGAUCGCUUCUAGCUAACCCUCGGUUGAUUAUUAGGAUGCACCAAUAUAGACCACAUCUGGCUAAAACAGGGUUGGUCAUUAGGUAUUGCCGAUAUUGACGCACAUAGUUGAUCAUGCUCUUCGCUCCUCACUCCCACGUCCCAUUUAUCGAUGAAGAUCUUCGAGACCUCCUUCUCGAAGAUAUGCGACCAAGAAUUUCCACAUAGUUGUGAUCACACAUUGAGUCACUCAAGCAACUAGUCCAUACUUUGAAUCAUUAUCCACUAUCAAGCGACGGACACUCUCACUCACACGACCAAUCAGCUCAUUGUCGCAUCGACCCAAUGUAACGUGCUCACAACAUAUAUGAUAUGGAUCAGGUCCAAUACCAAACUCUUCCUAGCUAAGAUUAUUGGAUGGACUAGCCAUCGGAUGUGAUAGAGAUGUACCUGCAUUCUGAGUGGAUCGUUUGUGAGGCUUUGCACUUCACCUUACCAAUUGUCUUUGCUGCUCGCGACAAAACCUUUUUCUCUGGCAUAGAAGCAAGUACAAGCGAUGAGGGUACCACCGAUUCCAUUAUUCCAGCAUAUCGCCUUUCAGGUAAGAACCAAACAACAAAUAAAUUAGGUAAGGUGAUAGUUUGAUAAUACAACUCUUUGGUCUCCGUCUCAUACGGAACCAAGGAAGGGUGACAUAACACUGUAGAAAGGUAAAAAGAAGAAAGUGUUUAGUCCCCAGAUAUUAGUCAAUUUAAACAUAAAUGCAACAAAAAUGUAGAAUAUAGAAGUUACAUAUUUGUGAUAACACUCACUUUUCUAUAGUUUUUAAUGUUUUUAGGAUGUAUUUGUACGGAAUUGAGUGUUUGAUAGUUGUUUUGUGCUUAAAUUAUUUUCUCUUGUGAAAUAUGAUACUUGCCCGUACUUUGGUGAAAUAUUUUCAAAGUUGAAUUUGGAAGAAUGGUUUGAAAGAAAAUUGUAGAUCAUCGUGAUACGAGUUCAUGAGCGCAAACAGAUCAUAAAUCAGAGUUCGAAGGGAGAGAGAUAUGGUCGAAACGAAAAUAUUGUCCGUCGAAACAGAAAGCAACCACGGUUUUGCAUGCGGCUGCGGCCCGUGACCGUGGGAGAAAGACGGAAAAUCUCCAAAAAGUUGGCCCACAUGCGUUUUUAUCAGUCUUUUUCGAGUUUUGUAUUGUAUUUAUACCUUGUGCCUAUAUAUAGGUACUUUUAUUGGCAUAUUAGACACAUCUCUUCUCUCUCUUUUCAUAUUUUUCAAUUUUAACUUUAGAAUUUAUUUGUUUCAUUGUUUUCAUAUCUCAUAUAUAUUUUCUGCAAAAUUGAAUAUUCAAGUUGUUCAUUCCAAAUUCUUUCCGAGUUUUAUCAAAUUUUGUUUAUUUCAAUUAUUUUUUAAUGUCUUCUAUUUAUUUAAGGCUAGUUUCGUUUCUGAUUCUAAAGUUUGUAUCUAGUUGAUUGAAUAUAUGUAUUUGAUUUAUUGAUAUUAAUAUUUCCUUCACAUUGUGAUUCAUGAUUCGUGGUGUUUGAUUUCUUGUGACUUACCCGAUCAAUAAUUUACAUGUCUAUCUGUUCAGUUUGAGACUUGAAUGUGAUAAUAUUCAACCGAUUCAUGAAUGCAUGAUAUAGUUUACCUUGAGACUUAAAUGUGAUAGGUGGGCUAUAGGAAGUUAUUCUUUGUGAGCUAUUUUGAGUUAAUUUAUUUCCUUGAGAAUUAAAUGUGAUAGGGAAUUUAUUAAUUUAUUUUCAUAGUUGUCGUUAGAGAAGAUUAUGAAUCGGAUAAUGAUCUUUCAUUACGACUGGACUAAAUUGGUAAUUGAGUCAAUAGAUUGGAUGCAUGUGUUUGUUUAACGACUGUACAUUCCCUAGGUCGGUGUCUUUAUUAAGUAUUUGGUUUAUUCUCUUGGUUUUAUCUGUUGCAUGAAUAUUGCUUUAGGAUUUAUUAUGAUUAUUCAAAGUGUUUUCGCUUAUCAGUCCUUGAGGAUACGAUACUCGUUUGCUAUUUAUACUACGAUUACACCGUAGUAGUUGCAGUAUUUUUGUUGCUAUAAAAAUAGUAAUCAAUUCGUUGAAAAAAGAACUAAAGUCCGCUAACGAAUUUUAGGUCAUUUACAUCAAACAUAUGUGCAGCUUUAGUUUCAUGUCUCGGCACCCACACAUAUGUCCCAAGUCCGGAAUGACCCCAUACAAUCAUAAGACCAAAUUUGUAAUGCCUAUGUGGAUUCGUACAGAUGAUAAGUCUUCCUCUAACCGCCUAUCUCGUUCGGGGGCUUCUUCAACACACUUAUCGCGUGGCAUAUGAUUUGAAAUAAGUAUGAAUCCCAAGGAAAUUGCAAUCACAUAUUUGCAUCUUCAAUCAAUGCUCAUGCCACCAUGCGCAAUCCUCAACAUAAUCCUUAUCGUGACAAAGAAUGAUCAAUAAGCCACCAGAAUGUUGGUCGUUUUCAAAUAGUCGUCGAGGUCAUUACCAAGCAUGUCCUUAUUCAAUUGGACCUACAAUUCAGUCAUAACAGUCCACUUGUUUUAAAAGAAUCUGUGAAAUAAGAUGUCCGGGGAAUGUGCCACAUUUGAAUCGUAGGGAAUUCCAACUAAUCUAGUAACCAAACAAUAUUCUUUCAUCUCAAACCGUGUGCUGGUUCCACCAACGUGAAACCACUUCUCUCACCCAGAGAACCCUCGUCAUAUAACUCCCAUGUCAUAUAACCACUUCCACCAACAAGCACGUCGUCAUCUUUUUCAAUAUUAAAAUAUUAAUCUGAAUAUUAUGAUUAAUAUGUUCGAAUAACUUUACAUUUGUGGCCGCAACCAUAUGUACCAAGGAGGUCGCAUUGAAUAAUAAAUAAUUCAAGUCAGAUCAAAAUAUUACAAAAAUGAAAAAUCAAGAAAUUAUGAAUAAGGAAAAAAAACGUACAUAUAGCAGUGCAAAACUUACCUCAUUAUUAUGAUUUAGAAUAGAUAUAAGGAGCGACGGAGCCACAAUGGGGCUAGGAGGCCCACGGACUACCGUGGUUUUUUAAGUUUUUAUUAGUAAUAUUAUUAUUUAAUAAUUAGUCCUGUAUAAUUGAUAAUGAAACUAUUUAUACAAAAUUUUAAUAAUAUAAAAAAAUAAAAGAGAUAUAUUAUGAAGUUAUCGUGUUUAAGUUUGAUAUAUGGUAUCCGCAUCGGUCAUCACACCUAUAUUAAAUUCUUUUAUUUCUAUUUUUUCAUUUUGAAAUAUUACUUAUGAUCGAUUCUUUAGCUCCCGUGAAUAUAAUUUAUAGGCCAGCCAAUGAUGAAGGUUUAACUAGGGGUGAGCAAAAAAUCCGAAACCGAAUAACCGAACCGAUCCAAACCGAAAUUUUAAAAUAUGGUUCGGUUUUUUCGGUUCGGUUCGAUUUUUUUUUUUCAUAAAAUUUCGGUUUUUCGGUUCAGUUCGGAUUUUUUUUAAACCGAACAAAACCGAAAAACCGAAUUAUAUUUAUAAUAUAUAUAUAUAUAUAAUAUUAUAUAUAAUAUUUAAUUAUAAUUUUAUAAAAUAUAACUUCUAAUUAUUUUUUAAAUUUUAUAGUAUUUUUUUGGAAUUUUCGGUUUUUUUUCAAAAACUUCGGUUUUUUCGGUUUUUUUCCGAAAAUUUCGGUUUUCUUCGGAUUAAUUCGGUUUUUCGGUUCGGUUCGGUUUUAAUUAUAAAAAUUUCGGUUAAUUCGGUUCGGUUCGAUUAUUUUUUUAAAACCGAACUAAAAUAUGGUUUGGUUUGGUUUGGUUUGGUUUGAGCAAAAACCGAACCAUAUAACCGAAUGCUCACUAGGUUUAACUAUCGUGUAUAUUAAGUAUUCGUAGAUUUAUUAAUUUUUUCGUUUUAGAUGAUUGAUGAUAAUGAUUUUAAGUUCAUGCUUAUUGAGUGUCGACAGUAGUUCAAAUUAUUUUGUUUAUUUAUUCACCGACCAACUGAAACCAAGUAGCAUAAGUUUUAAUACUUCAUUUGACUAACGGCUGAUAUUUAGAUUACGACCAUCCUUGCAUAAUAGUAUAAUUAAAAAAUUAUGCGUGAGUUUGUGGGUUACAUAAUUUGCCAUAUUCAUGUCAUAAAACAUAGAUAAAAAGUCAAUGCUCAUCAUCAUCUUGAAAAAAUCAAGGAAGUAGUAGAUAUAUAGAUAUAACUUAAACAUACACACACUGUAAUAUCAUAUUAGAUGCAUAUAAAUAAUGAAAUUCAUUAUCACUAUCUUGAUCAUAAAAUUUAAAAUGAUUUAACUUCUCUAUUAGUUGAUAAUGUUAGAAGUAUUAUUAUUAAAAAAAAUAAAGGAUGCAAAAUACUUUUAAGUAAUUCUUAAUUCUACACCAGAUAUAAGUCAUAAAAAAUAAGUUACUGUGAUAAUAUUAUGUUGAUAUAUCAGAUAGCAAAGUGAAAAUUGAAGAAUAUUUCUUUGAAAUUUUGAAAGUGGAUAAUAUAUCUAGAUUAAAACUUUUUACAGAAUUACAAAAUGUGCUAAAAUAACUUGAUCUUAACAUUGAAAAUGUAAGGGUCAAGUGACAAAAUUGAGGCAUCCAAAAUUUUUCUUUUGUGAGAGGUCUUGCAUUCAAUCCCGCCUGCGUGCGGGUAGUUUUCUCACUUUUGUAUGGGUAGUGAUCCCACCUGUGUACGGGUAGUUUUUCCACCUUUGUGUGGUGUAGAGGUCCCACCUGCAUGCGGAUUGCUUGUUUGAUUAUAUGAUACCUCUUGUAAUUCUAAAAAAAAAAUAUUGAAGAUGUAAGGCGUUGAGGUUAUGAUAAUUGUUCUAAUAUGAAAGGAAAACAACACGGAUUUAAAAAUGAUUUCUUGAAAUUAAUCCUAGGGCGUUAUAUGUGUCGUGUGCUUGUCAUCGUCUCAAUAUUACACUUCGUGACAUAACACAUUCUUAUGUUAAAGCAAUUUCUUUAUUUGGAGUAGUACAACGCAUAUAUACAUUGUCUCAAGUUCUAAAAAAAGUGAAAUAUUUUAUUUGAUAAUGUGAAUAGAUUGAUUGUUGAAAUAUUUGUCCUAUGAUAUUUUUAUUAUGAUAAGUAGAGGGCCUAUUUUUAUUACUUCGCCCCGGGUCCUAUUUUUGUCAUGACUUAGGUAUAUAUUUAUUGAGAAAGAGAACAAAAAAAAAACACUUAGAUACCUGAGUUAAGUACCAUUUGUAACAUCAUAAAAUUGUUCAGCCAGUUCUGUUAUUUUUAUUCUGUCAAAUAUAGAAACAUAUAGUAUUAAUUAUAUAAGGCCUGUUUGAUAUGGGUUUAAAAGCAGGAUAAGUUAAAUUAAUAUGAAUUUAUGUAGUGUUUGAUAUUAUGUGUUACUAAUAUGGUCAACUCCAAGUUUAUCCCANAUUUUUAUUCUGUCAAAUAUAUAAUUAUAUCGUAUUAAUUAUAUACUGAAAAUCAAACGGGUAAUAAAGGGAUUUUCAAACAACAUAUAUACUUAUUAAUUUUACUGAAUAAUUGAGUUAACGAGCUGAGCAGUACGAAAAUAAAAGUCGGUAAGUUGAGUUAACAAAUUCCACUAAACGAAUUCACACAAGAUUUUAUGGUAUCGAAUUCUGAAUAGUAAUGAAAUGAGUUAAGAAUCCGCAUCUGUUUAAUUUUGUAACCUCAGCAUCUGCAUCAGCAAUAGACAAAAACAAAGCAAUGGGAAUAUAUAUCAAUUAUCAAACAAGGAUUCCUUCCUCCUUAUUUCUAUCGAGAAAGUGAUUAUAUCACAGCCACCUCAACAUCUCCAUGGGAUAUUACCGCUGAUUCUACGUAUGGAUGCCGAGAAGCACAAGUUGAGAGGCUGGAAAUGGUGGCUUACUCUUCUCCUUAUCACCACCCUCCUUAUGGCUGCUUUUUACAUCACUCUCAGGAGAGAAUUCCGAUCGUUCAGCGUUUUCAAUCGCUCUCGUAGACGGCCGGAGGUCGUUGGAAAGUAUGCCGAAGCUCUGAGUAUUGCACUGUUGUUCUUUGAUGUUCAGAAAUGUAAGUGAGUUUAGGUGUUUAUUGAUUGAUAUUGGAAGACAUGUCUGAAUAUUGACUUGUGUGUGUAUGUGUAGCUGGUAAGUUGGAGAGGAGUAGGAUUAGUUGGAGAGGAGAUUCAGGUCUGGAAGAUGGGAAAGAGGAGAAUUUGGAUCUCAGCAAAGGACUGUACGACGCCGGCGACAACGUCAAGUUCGGACUACCCAUGGCGUUCACAGCGACGAUGCUAUCCUGGGCGAUUCUUGAAUACGACGAGCAAAUGAGACGGGUGAAGGAGACGCAGAACGCCAAGGAUUCGUUGAAAUGGAUCACGGACUAUCUCAUCAACGCACAUCCAUCUCCCAACGUGCUCUACGUUCAGGUAUGAAUCUGUGAAUCUCGACUGUCCGAUUUCGUCGUUCUUACACGAAUCCGCUCUUCACCCAAGGUGGGAGACCCCGAAUCGGACCACAAAUGCUGGCAAAGGCCGGAGGUUACUACAACAGCUAGACCUCUGACACAGGUGAAUUCGUCAUAUCCCGGGUCGGAUGUCGCUGCGGAAACCGCAGCGGCCAUGGCAUCUGCGUCGCUGGUGUUCCGGUCGACGGAUACUGCUUACUCGAGGCUGCUUCUCAAGCACGCUCGGCAGCUGUUCACGUUUGCAGAUUCCUACAGAGGUUCUUACAGUGAGAGUAUCCCACAAGUGCAGAAGUACUACAACUCCAGUGGCUACGGUGACGAGCUCCUCUGGGCUGCAGCUUGGCUUUACCACGCCAGCGGAGACGCAUCGUACCUUCGAUACGUGACCGUGGAAGGGAACUACUUCGCUAAUUGGGGAGCAAACACAUGGUUUAGCUGGGACAACAAACUUGCCGGAACUCAGGUAUCCUAUAAAACAUACCUUUAUUUUUUAGGCUCUGAGUUUAGCAUCGUCGAGGUUUAUGCAUCUUGCUUCAAUCAGGUCCUGCUUUCUAGAGUAAGCUUUUUUGAGUCGAAAGAUAUACGAGGCGAAGAGAGUAUCGGUCUGCAGCUUUACAGAAAAACUGCAGAGCUCGUCGUCUGUGCACUUCUUCCAAAUUCUUCAUCAGCAUCUCAGAGAACAGAAGGUUCUCUCUCUCUCUCUCUCUUCUUUCUCCCAAAAUCUUCAUCAGCAUCUCAGCAAAACAUUCUUACUCUUCAAGCUCAACAUGAUUUGAUGCAGGUGGGCUUAUCUGGGUGACUCAGUGGGAUCCUCUGCAAUACUCCGUAGGCUCCGCAUUUCUAGCGCUUGUUUAUAGUGACUAUAUGCUCGCCACUCAAACGAGAAACUUAUACUGUGACGGAGAGCUAUAUGAGCCACAAGACAUACGCAACUUUGCUACUAUGCAGGUAAAUUUACAAUACUGACCUGCCAAACUAUGUCGAGAGGGGGGCUGCAGAGUGGCGAACAUCCUCCCUUCACGAGUCCAUCAGCUGCUUAGAAUCAUAAACGAAACCACGACCACAUUGCCAUAUAUUUUAAAAGCUGCAAAGAAGUCAUAAAUAAACCAAAAAUAAACCAGCUUACCAGAAGUGACGGUGCUGAUCAACUCACCAUUCUCUUUCAGGCGGAUUACGUGUUGGGAAGCAAUCCAAUGAACACAAGCUACCUUGUGGGCUACGGAAGCAACUACCCUCAAUAUGUGCAUCACAGGGGUGCUUCGAUCCCAAUGGAUGCAAAGACGGGCUGCAGUGAUGGAUUCAAAUGGCUGAAUUCGACAAACCCCAAUCCAAAUGUAGCAGUUGGAGCGCUUGUAGGAGGGCCCUUCCUGAACGAUACAUAUAUUGACUCCAGGAACAACACUCUACAAGUGGAGCCGACCAUUUACAAUAGUGCAGUCUUGGUUGGUCUCCUAUCCGGCCUCACCACCACUUCAUCAGUAGCUCGUUCCUUCUUAUAGAUAUCUACUGUGUUUUCAGCACUAUAGUGUAUAGAAAAUCUAUAGCUAACUCUACAAUCCUAAAUAGUAACUCUCUUAGUGUUCUAUCACUAUGGCGUCAAUGACCUCAAUACAUGCAUCAACAUAUAAAUACCACAUUUUCCACAAAGUAAAACGAAAAUGCAUAGAACUGCACUGAGAUUUCCUUCCAAGUAGGCUCUCAGCAACUCCAAGCACAAUUCAAUCUCCAGAUUAUAUAAGCAUAGCAUGUGAAGAAAACGCAUUAUCUGUGGAAGUUAACAAUUAAGAUGAGGAAGAAAAAUAAUGAGAUGGCAGGAUAAACACAUACUGCACUCAGCAGAAUGGAAAAGGUCUCAACAGUACAGGCUUUACAUUCAAUCAACUGAAGACUUCUCAAAUAAGAAAAUACAACAAGAUAGGGAGUACAAGUUCCAUCCUAUGGCAAUUUGAAAAUGGAAAGUGAAUGUCAAACUCAAGCAAUAUACUUUCGUCAGUAUGCAGGAGAGAGCUACACCACGUGAUCGGGUUUGCAGAAGAAUGGCAGCUCUAUCAAAUGAGUUAAGGAUGUCAAAUUAUAUAUUGGAAGCGUUCAGUGCCAUAACCUUGCAUUGCUCGUUCAUGGCCACGAGUUGGGCCUCUUUCUUGUCCAGUAGAACACUCAGUCUCAUAUUCUCUUCCAUAAGUUUCUGGACCUCAACUUCCUUCAGCAUCUUCUCAUUUUCCAAUUGCGAUGUUUUUUCCACAAGCCUGGUUGUGUCCAACAGAGCCAAACAGUAAAUUUUCCAGAAAGUAAGUUUAUAGUGUAAUAUACCUCUGAAGAAAACAUAGCAACAAAGGCAGGAAUAAGUAAAAAUUCCAAGAACGAAAAAUGUAGAGUUUGUUAUAGAUUGAAGACUGAAAAGAAAAGGAAAGCAGGCCAACCGAUUAAACCUUUGCUUGUUAAAUUCAAGCAUUUAUAUAUUGCUUUCAAUCCCCAAUAUCUAUAAAAAAGGAGUGAUUCUUAAAGAGGAUGGAGAUGCUUUUAACAAGUCAAGAACCUUCUUCCCAUAAUCCUUCAGGAAGAAGCAGGCACAUAUCUUCUCCUUUCAAAACAGGCAUCAUACAGCAAGGUUUAACAGUAUAUGAUAUCCUCAAAGCUUUCAUACGCUCGUGGUGGUUGCCCACUUACUAUGAAAUAAUGGAAAUUAAUUAAAUCUCAGCAUUUCAAGCUAGCUUGUUUUCACAUUAGAUAUAAAGGUGUGAUAAUAUUUUCCACUACAUUACUCAUUACAACAUUUUGAAUAUAAUCCUACUUGUGGUAAUUCAGCAUGGUGCUAGGAGUGGCAAGUCUGCAAGCAGUAUCUGUAGAUUGCGUACAUCCCCAAAAGAGCCAAUACUACUUGGCUUCUCCUAAACUGAUUUGUAAUUGUUUCAAAAACAAAGUAACCAAAUACGACGGGGAAGAGUGAUCAACUCCAGCGGCGGAUCCAGGAAAUGUUGACAAAUGGAAAGGGCGCUGAACUUGUUGAAGUAUGGAGCCUGAAGGUACUUGCACGGGGGUUCGAGGGCGGUAGCCCCCGACCCAAUUCUUUUUUGGUAGUCUGUACAGUUUUUUUUUUGGGCCCAGGUGGAAUCCUAAUGGGCUUAGGACUAGGACUCAGUCACUUGCUAUGAUUAAAAAAAAAAUCAUUAUUAAUGAACUAACUUUUAUUAUUAAUAAGCUAAUUUUUAUUAUUAAUAAUUCACAAUCUUAUUUCAACUAAAGGAUUGACUCAAACUCAACAUCAAAAUUAACUAAGAAAGGGAAAGGGGACAAAAAAUAACACAAAUUUAACAAACUAAUAACAAACCACUGCAAAAUGUUAAGCAAAAUGCUUGUAUUGAAAAGUAGGAAUUGACUUUCCUUCUAACUUCGAUUAUUAACAAUGUGUUAUGUUCUUUCUCUCAUCUUAUUUCUUAAAAAAAAAAUAAAAAAUGCAAGAGUACAUAAUUCAGCCAAAGUGGUGCUCCCAUUCUAGGUAAAAUGAGUCAUGCAUAGGCAAGGAUUCGGAUGAAAGCCUUACUUUUUUAUUAACUUUAAGAGAAUUUACAAAAGGGAGGAGGGUUUUUCAGCCUCCCAUGUCUAAAAAUUUACAUUAUAUCAUAAAUUUUCUAUAAGCCAUCAUCAAAGCAAAACAAGCAUUCCCUCACAACUAAUAUAAAUUUGUUUCCCUCUGCUAAAAAGAGGGGACUCAAAUGACAAAGUGAAACAUGAAUUACAAGAAUAGAUAUAAGUUAAAUGUGGAAAGUGGAGCUACACAGAUGCAAGAAACUGAAUAACAAUCAUACAUAAUCGCCAUGAGAAACUAAAUAGAAGCACUCAUAGCAAGGAAGAACACAAUACUAGUCAAAAUCCCAAAUGAAAUGAUAAAGGUUUGAGCACACUGACCGUUCAAAGUGCUUUUCAAUUGACUGAAAUUGCUUCUCUGAUGAAAGAAGUGUUUCCCUAACACUAAUCAGAGUACUGACAUAAGAUUUCAGGGAUUCAAAGUCUUGCUUAACACGGCAAAGCUCCUGCUCAUUCUCAGCAGCUCUUUGUCUUUGUCUAGAAGUUUCUUCAACCAAAUCUUCUACCCUCUGUCUCAUCUCAUUCAAAAUACUAUUUGUACCCAUUGCAAAUUGCUCCAUCUCCUCUAAUUUUACUGACAUGUUCUCAAUUUGAACUGCCUUCUUUUUAAUUUCUUCCUGUCCUACUGUCACCUUUUCCUUCUCGGUAACCAUUUCAGAUUCUGCCAUGAUAGCUCUUUUCACGAGAGUUUCCAUUACAUCAGUAACCAUUUGUACACUUUUGAGUAAUUCGCUAAUGUAAACUCCAUCUUGUUCAUCAAGAGUACCAUCCUGACUGCUAAGUGCUGUCCAUGUUUCCUCAUCUGCACUGUCAAAAGAAGAAGUAUCUACGUUCCUUGACCAUCCAGACAACGGCACACCAUUCUUAUCAACAAAGCCCACACCCUCCAAUUGUUUGAUACCACAAGAGGUAUGAGCCAAAUGAGGAACGGCCAUAAUUCUGGCUUUCGAUUUCAAGUAUGUCAACAAUGUUGCAGAUGUUUUGACUCUAUGCCAGAGAACUUUCAGCUCCUUCUUAGCAUCUGCUUCAGAGCCUUGUAUACAAGCCUUUACCUCCGUAAGCUUCUCUUGCAAUGCAUCCACUUGAGACUGGCUUCUUCCCAUCUCCUGCUUCCAGUGGGUCUGUGCAUUGGCCAACUGUGAUUUCAAAUCUGGCACGCCAACAUCUUCCUCUGUUGCCAUUACCUGGCAGAUAACUUCUAUUAGUUAAUGACCUCAAAAGCUGAUAAUAUGAAUCAGUAAUUACAAGAAUAUGCCAUCAAAUGAUAUGAAGCAAUCCAGGCAACAAACCAAUGCAAAAAUCUUUAUCAGUGAGAAGUGUUUCGAGACUGAUAGUUUUCUGGCUCUAAGGCUACAAGAUGUAUAGGGUUUUGCAUAAAAAUUAACCAGACUCUAUGAUCUUAGCAAUGCUGCUUUAAAUUCCAGUAUAUCCCAUUUACACAUUCUAUUUUACCUGAUACCUCAACAUGAAAAAGUACGUGAUAAGAAUGAAAAAUAGACACCACGUGAGCAGCCUAUGCUGACUUUGUAGCUUCUUCAAGUGAUGGGAGCUGGUAUAGAGAUAACGCUUUAAGAAAGAAAAUCAGCAAAUCUCUCCCACGAGGUUAGAAAAGCAAGUAACAUACUAACCACACCAAAAGCAGAUGCUUCAAUAGAAUAUUUGUCUUCCAAGGGAAAGAACAGAAAUAAUAGGAGCUGCCUCAACAUGCAAACCUCACACCUUUUUAACUUCACAAUCACAGAAUCCAAAUAUAGGUAAUCAUACAAGUUCAGUUCAUAGAUUCUUUUCACCUAAGAGAAUACAGACGCCUACCAUGUUAUAAGAGUCUAAUGCCGACGAUCCAAGACAAUGUCUCUGAGGCUCUGAGCAUGGACCCCAGAGCCCAAAACCUAGAAUCUGCUCUUCAUUCAAGGUCAUGCUAAUGAUGAGAAAAGAUGAAACUAUGCUCAAUUUCAUGAUUCAUCCUACCACCGUCCAUCAUGUUAUAAAAUUUCUCAGGAUGGCAUCAAGAAACUGUGUUCUCAGCAUAAACUCACAACACCAUGCAUUCAUAGGUAAAUUUUUUAGAUGGGUUUAUGAUGCUUGAUAUUAGAUGAAUGCAGUAACCAUUCACAAUGGUGUUUCUUUUCUUUCCGAUAACAAAAGAAAAUGGUCCAUGUUUUGAAUCCAUUAAUCAAGUAAAUAAAAAAGGACUUGCAGCAUUCCUAUUACAUUACGUUAAGUUACGAAGAGAACGACUGGACGUGCCAAGCUAGGCCCUAAAUAUCUGUACUAAACCGAGAAAAAAAAAAAACCACCAGUGUUCUGAUGCAAUCAUGAUAAAGAUUCAGACAAUCACCCUCAAGCUCCAGGUUGGCACUACUGCUUAAAUUUAGCUAAAAGUAGAUUUUCAAAAUUAACCAAAGCAUUUUAGCUACCCAAAUUCACAUGACUUGCACAAGAUCACAAAAUUACAUGAGCAACGGAGAGGGGGAUGAGGGGUGAGAGAGAGAGAACAGAUAAUUCUAAGCUUACAUAAAACCCAAAUUAAAUUAUCAGUUUUCUAAACCAAUGAACAUCAAAAGAAAUUCCAAAUUUACAUAAUUCAUAUAUAAACCUCAUUAUCCAGUAUCUCAAUCCUUAAACGUGACAAAAACCAUAAACCCACCAACAAAAUAUUUACUUCAGCCAAAAAUCAAAAAAUAAAAAUAAAGUUACAUCUAUUAUCGAGAUCCAUCAAAAUCAUCAUUUGAACACAUUUGACAAGAGCACAUGAUAAUUCCUAACCAUCAAAACAAAAUUACGAAAUGUUUCACAACCAGAGCUCCCAAAAAAGUAUUUCUAAGAAGAUCAUCGACUCAAAAAUUGCAGUAGACAAUUAAAAAGGGCACAAAAAGUAUAGAUUACGUCAGUUGCGUUGUCGAUGUCUGGAAAAUCAGGGAGCUUCCAACGGAAGAAAAAUGACGACGACGAAGGUCAGCCUAACAGGUAUUGUCAGAAGCCAGGUUACAAUAAAAAGAAGUACAAAAUAAAGAAAAUUAAAAAAAAAAAAAAAUAGAAGAAACAGAGAAGAGAGAGAGAGAGGGCCAACAGUGGUGCUGCACUUUUUGAUUUGCUAUCCGCCCGUUCACCUUUUGGAAAAUUACUCCUAUGCCCCUAUGAUGCCUUCAAAUUGAAUCCAGAGAAAAGACACUGUAAUUUGAUUUGCUAAGAAACAGCCAAUGUUUUGAAGUCAUCCCUGCUUCGGGAAAAAAAGGACAACUAAGAUAAAUGAAACCAAAACAUUAAUACGAGUUCCCUCCGUUUAGGGAUGGCAAUCAGGUACGACGGGUACGGAUAGUGACUAUCCAUACCCAUACCCAUGAACUAAAUGGAUAGUGGUUGCUACCCACGAAACUAUCCAUGAAUAUCAAAUGGUAUCCAAACCCGCUACCCGCGGAUAGCCGAUACCCGUCGGAUACAACCCACUAUCCGCGGGUGAAAUCAAAUGUGUCGAGAUUCGUGGGAUGGAAAGAGUAACUAUCUAUUAUUAAAGACUCAAAAGUGAUAAGAGAAACAGUAAUUACAAGAAUAUGCCAUCAAUGAUAUCAAUCCAGACAACAACCAAUGCAAAAACCUUUAUCAGUCAGAAGUUUCAAAUAAUAGUUUUCUCCUCUAAGGCUGUUCUGUAACCUCCAUAGGAUUCCGUAACCGACAAUCUCUCCCUCAAAUUCGAUCAAUCACCGCAUAUGUUCUAUAACUUCCAUUUUAUUCUAUGGUUCAGUCAAUCUCUCUAUCAAUGUCGAUCAAUCACUGUUUCUGUGAUUCAGCAAAUUCGAUCAAUCACUGUUUUUGUGAUCCAUUUUUGAAGUUUGGGUUAUGAGACAAACACCUCAAAACUCACUUCGAAAUUGAGACACGUUUUAUUAAACACUACGACAAUGUUUGAUAGGCUUUAUUAGGUGGGAUAAAUUAUCUUUCUCACUAUUUCUACCUGUUUGAUAGCCUUAUUCAGUAAUAUCCCAGGCCCGCGCAAAGCCCGCACUAAAACUACUGUUCCACUUAGAUUUCUAAUCCAAUGCAAACCCCAGUUCAAUAAUCUCCUCACCAACAGUAACCUUGAUUAAUUUUUGUUUUACAAAUUUAACCCUAUUUUCCCAAAACAAAAUCGAGAUUCUUUGAAGAAGCUAUUUUUUAUUUCAAUUCAUUGAUUCUCGAGUGGAAGAGCUACUCUCACUUUGAUAUGUAAAAACAAGGUAAAGCUUGCUUCCAUCUUUCCAGAGCUAGUAAAAAUUGUGGGCGAUGGGAUUGUGUUUGUUGGCGGUGGACGGAGACGAAUAAAAUUGUGGCGGAAACAACGACUGAAAAAAUAGUCGGGGUGGGUGGACGCCGCCUCCGGGGGCUGGGGGGAGAGAGGGAAAAUCGCUGCCGUCUGUGACUGCAACAAAUUAUUCUGGCGGUGGUUCUACAACAGAGGGAAGGGGAGGGGUCUUUCUUUGGUUGUUGAUUUGUGACUGCAACAAAUAUUUUGGAAGGGGUGGAAGAAUUGAUGGGGAGGAAAGGCAGUCUGCCGUGGGGGCGAGGGGUGGGGCGGGGGGAGAGGGGAAUGUUAUGGAAGAAGAUUGGACGGUGGGGGCGGCUGGUGUUGGGGUUGGGAUGGGAUAAUUUUUUUUUUUUCUUUUGUUUAGUUUAUUUAUUUAAAUAUAAGGUUAAAAUUGUAAUUUACUCUUUAAUCUAUAGUUGUAUUUUGUGUUCCAAACAAUAAUACUCCUUCCGUCUCACGGAAAGUGGUGCGUAUUCCUUUUUUGACUGUCCCAUCGAAAAGUGUGCAUUUCUUUUUUUUAGGCAAAAAUUUAGACACCCCCUUAUUUUACCUUAAUCANNNNNNNNNNNNNNNNNNNNNNNNNNNNNNNNNNNNNNNNNNNNNNNNNNNNNNNNNNNNNNNNNNNNNNNNNNNNNNNNNNNNNNNNNNNNNNNNNNNNNNNNNNNNNNNNNNNNNNNNNNNNNNNNNNNNNNNNNNNNNNNNNNNNNNNNNNNNNNNNNNNNNNNNNNNNNNNNNNNNNNNNNNNNNNNNNNNNNNNNNNNNNNNNNNNNNNNNNNNNNNNNNNNNNNNNNNNNNNNNNNNNNNNNNNNNNNNNNNNNNNNNNNNNNNNNNNNNNNNNNNNNNNNNNNNNNNNNNNNNNNNNNNNNNNNNNNNNNNNNNNNNNNNNNNNNNNNNNNNNNNNNNNNNNNNNNNNNNNNNNNNNNNNNNNNNNNNNNNNNNNNNNNNNNNNNNNNNNNNNNNNNNNNNNNNNNNNNNNNNNNNNNNNNNNNNNNNNNNNNNNNNNNNNNNNNNNNNNNNNNNNNNNNNNNNNNNNNNNNNNNNNNNNNNNNNNNNNNNNNNNNNNNNNNNNNNNNNNNNNNNNNNNNNNNNNNNNNNNNNNNNNNNNNNNNNNNNNNNNNNNCUCCAAUGAGACCCCCUAAUUUUAGUGAGAUCUAGGGCACGAUUUGGUGCGUUUAUUUUAUCAAUCUUAUGACUGAUAUUGUAUCUGGAGGGAGAUUUUUUUGCAAGGUUCGAAUCCUGGAGGGAGCAGAAUAUUUUAAAUUUUGUUAUUCAUCAAUAUAUACUGCAUUGUUCAUCAGUAUAAUUGUCUUGUUCAUCAGUAUAUAUGUCUUAUUCAUUACGAAUUUUUUAAAAUUUAUUUUUCAUCAGUAUAUACAUCUUGUUCAUUAGAUAUACGUUUUGUUCAUUAGUAUUAUAUGUCUUAUUCAUUGUAUUCAUGUUACACGAAAAAUAGGGGGUCUCACUGGAGCGCGCCCCUAUAUAUACUAGUAUUUUACCCGUGCAUACGCACGGGUACGAAAUUCACAAAUACAUAAAAUAUAAUUAUAAAUAUAAGAAGAAAUAUAAUACUAAAUAAAACAAAAUAUAUAUAACAAACAACAAAAUAUCUUAUACAAAUCAAUUCCAUAGAGUUCCAUAUAAACAAUAUCGAGAAUAAAAAAAAUUUCAAGUUUCAAAUAUCAAUAAUUAGUAACCAUUGAUAUACGAACAUAAAAUGAAGGAAUAAAAAACAUGUUUAUUACGUAAAAAAUUAAACAUGAAAGAUAUCCAAUUACACGAUUAUAUUGUGUGAAAUAAUCAAUGAAACUUAUGGUCCCUACACAACAUAACAUUCUACCUUAAGAGAAAUCAGGUUCAUUUAAUUACACAAAAGUAUGGAAUAAUUUUUUUCAUAAAAGCCUAAUAUUUGUGCAAGCUUAAAAAAAAUACUCCUUCCGUCCACGAAUUGGGUACCCAUUUGUGGACGGCACGUGUUUUAAGAAAUGUAUUAAGUGUAGUGUGAAUAGAAUAAGGGCCCCACAUUUUAGAGUGUACUUAAUUAAAGGGUUGUGUAGGAUACACUUAAGGGUGUGCAGACCCAACCCGAACCCGCCGAACCUGCCCGGACCGACGGGUUCGGUCCGGUCCGGAUCAGAUUUCUUGGACCGAACUCUUGUCAGGUCGAUCCGGGUCGAAACCCCUACGUACACUUGCCAAAAUGGAAAAUUGGUACCCAUUUCGAGGACGGACGAAAAACAAAAUAUGAGUACUCAUUUCGUGGAUGGAUGGAGUACAACAUUCUAAAAAAAAUCAUAAGUUUAUAUCUUAAAUAUAACGAUGACAACGUCAAAUACACAAAUUAUAUAAAACUAAGUCUAUUAUAUAUGAUCGUGAAAUACACAAAUUUAAGUGUAUUAUUUUAAAAGGAAGAUAAAUUACAAAAAUGCCAAAUUUUGUAAAUUACUCCCUCCGUCCCAGCUUUUUGUAUCCACUUUUAGUUGUAUUUACAACUAAAAGUGGAUACAAAAAGCUGGGACGGAGGGAGUAAUAAUUACUAUCAUUAGAAUAAUGUUCUAAAUAUAACAAUAUACACUGAUUUAACUAUAUAAAUAAAUAUGCUAACAAUUUAAUCAUGUAACUAAAUAUGUUUACCAUCUAAAAUGUAAAUUUUAAAUAUCAAAUAUAUUUUAUUAUCUAUUUUAUAUUUUUCAUUUAGUAUUUUACAUAAAAAAAGUGAAAAUAUUAUUUCACAAUUUGAUACAUUCAAUGAAUGUGACGAAUAUUUAUUUGUAAAUAUUAUAUUUAAGUUUAUAUACAACAGGAUUGACAAUAUUAAACAUGCGGUGGCUCGUGAUUUUUCUACCCAUAGCUUUGUUAGAAUGGUGCUUUAAGGUGUUAGUGUUUGUUUCGAAUAGGUUGGAUGCUUUUUGCGACAGGUGCGGUUGCUUCGUUGGGGUUUCGGUUGUCUGCUGGUGUUGGGAUGGUUUUGCAGGAGAGUGGGGGAGUUCUGGUGUUAGGGUCGGGGUGUCAGCGGUGUCUUUUUCAGUGCUCGGGUGAGCUCGACACUGGGAGCCGACUGGUCGGACCUCUUGGAUCUCCGUGAUCGGCGUGUUUCAACCGUUUCACGUCGAGCUUGCUUGAGGGGCGGCAGUUUUCGUCGUCGAUGUGCCACCUCUUGGAGUGUUAUCGACUUCUUCCGUUUGCAUGGUUUUUCUUGGUUUGCUGAUUUUCCUUUUACCUCCGCUAGUUGUGGAUGCUGUCGUGUUGUUUCUGGUUUUCAGUUUGGUUCCUUUUUGGUUGGUCGUGUUUUUGCUUCUUUUUUGCUUGUUCUCUUUUGUUGGUUUGCUUUGAUGUGUUCGGGAACCGAGCUGCUUAGGGGUGAUGGUUCGGCCGGAAUCUCUGAAGUUGUCUCACUUCCGUUCCCACACAGCUCCUUUUUAGACGAGUACUCUUUUUCCCUUUUGAGGAUUUUCCGAACAGGUUUGCCUUAAAAGGGUUUUAAUGAGGCUCGGCCCUUAGUUUGUUGUUUGUGCACUCAAGGGUUCUUGGUUCUUUUUUCUCUUUCUCUUUUUUAUAAAAUUUAAUUUAAUAAAAAAAAGUUUAUAUACAACAGUUUCCAAAAUAUUAAAAAUAAUUAUAUAUAAAUAAUAUAUAUAAGAAUAAUUUGUACCUCAUCGUCUCCAUAAAUAAGAAUUUUCAAACCUAACGAUGAGUAAUCUUGAAUACUCUCUUUAAGUAUUUAUUAAUUUUAUUAAUCGUUAUUGCAUAAGACACAACUAAUGGAAAUUCUCGAUAUUGAAAAUUAAAUGAUAAUCUUGAAUCCAACGACAUUAACCAUAAUUGAGGUAUUAAACCUUUACGUCCAACAUUAUGUCUACAAUCUAGAGGUGGCCACGGUUACGAUUCCAGUUUGAAUCAGAACCGAAUUGUGAAAGAUCCCUCACGGUUCCGGUUCGAACCGUGAGAAUUUUUUAAUUAAUUUUUAAAUAAAUAUAACUUUUAUAUUUUAAAAUUUAAUCUUUAUCUAAAAUAUACUCAAACUAAAGCUAUUUUCAUGAUCUUUAAUUUGACACGGGUAUCAAAUAUUUCAUAAUUAUUCAAUAUCAUAGUUUUAGAAAAGAAAUAAAGAAAAAAAAUUAAAAGAAUAAGAUAAUAUACAAAUAAAUUGUAAAUUUUAAUUUUAAUUAUAAAAUUAUCAUUUAAUUUUAAAUUUAUUUAAAACUGAUAAUUAAUUUUUAAUAUAUUAUAGAUUAUAUAUAAGUGUUAACUCCUCGAGAAUAAAUUUUGUGUUAGCCAAAAGUAAAAUAUUGUCAAGUGUAAGCAUCCAACUCGCUCACAAAAAUCAUUGAAUUCGAUGUAGUCAAAUGUCAACAAUCAAAUGAGCUAAAAUAUAAUUAUUCUUCCCUGAAAAAAAAAUAUAAUUAUUCUAAUAUAAUAAUAAUUUAUAUGAAUUUAAUAUUUUGAGCACUCCUUCAUUUGUUUACAAUACAUGCAGUUAAAUAUGAAUUUAAUAAUUUAGAUAACAAACAAAUCAGUUUUCGAAAUGAGAUUAUGGAUUAGGCAUUAAUUGCAUAAUUGCUGCACAAUUUUGUUCGAACAAAUCACCAAUAUGAUAAAACCAAAGCCCAUAGUUAAUACAAUGUGUAUUUAUUUAUUAAAAAAAAUCAAAGCCCAUACUUAUAGCGUAAACAGAAAAAAUAAAUCAAUACAGCCCAAUCCUAUCGAGAACCUUCUACACCCUUUUAGGGUUCAUUGCUCAAAUACUCUCUCAUUUUAGGGUUUGAAGAUGAAUCAGCGCCGCUAUUCUUCUCCCUCGUUCCUUUUCUAUCCCAAACCUUCCUCUGUCUUCUGCUACAUCUCUCGGUUUUCUUCUCCCGACCAAACCUUCCUCCUCCUUCCAAAUGCGCCGCUCACUCUCCCUUUUCCCCUCUGGUGGUUUAGGACGACGCCGAUUUUCUCCCUCUCAAUCACUCUCCCUAGUCCAAACCACCGACUCCGCUGUCACAUCUAGGCGGCGUCGCCUUCCUCCUCGGUGACGACGAAUGCGCUGCGGCCUCCCUCUGCGCAGCCCGUAUCCAGCCACCGCCGUCCGGUUUUCAAACGACGGAGUCGCCCAAGCCCUAGGCUCCAGAUAUCGUCCCCUUUCUCAUCUGUAAGUUUUAUGCUUUAUCAAAAAUAGUUCUCUAUGGCAUUAUUUUUGCAGAUUUAUGAACAUCUUUAUGAAUAGAAAAAAUGAUUUCGCUGAUCUGGUUUUGGCAUCUGAUUUUGCCAUUAUUUUUUAGCAUUUGUUUUUGGCAUCUGAUUUUUGUAGAUCUAUGAACAUCUUUGUUUUUUUCGCAUGUAGAUCUAGGAAUAUACACACAAAUUCAUUAUCUUUCGACAAUGUGUAGUAUUGAUUUACAUUCUUGUUGAUUUUUACAACUUCCUUGCUGAUUUUUACAACUUCCUAACCUGCUAAACUUUCUUGGGUCAUGUUUCUGCCAAGAAAACACAACUGAUAUUUGCUUUGUUUGAUUAUCUAUAUUUUGUAGUUGCUGAUGUCGGCGCUGGAUGAACAUGGAGGAAAAGAGAUAGGUAUUAUGUGGUAUCACUCUAACGCCUCUGGGUGAAGGUAUCAUCACUACCUUCAUUUUGAAUUAAACUCCCCUGGCUGAUGUAACAUCUCCAAUGCCUAUUUUAUGCAUUUGCUAUUUAAUUAGAAAAAUGUAUUUCAUUAGCUCUGACUGAUGAUACCUAUACUAUUUUAUGUGUUUGCUCUGAGUGAAAAUCGCUUGCAAAAAAGUGAUGAUACCUUUGCUAUUUCAUUAGCAAAGGUAUUUUCGAAAAGAUGAGUAUUGAUGUGGCUCAGGUACUAAUUUCUUCUUAUGCUCAGUAGUUUUGUUUUACUUUGUCUGGAAAUUGAAAUAUAGAGAAAUUAAGAAGUGGCCAUUUUCUCUCAUGCUGGCAUUUUUUCUAAAUGUUAAGUUAAAACAAAAAGAAAAAGAGAUGUGGUAGUAAUCUCGUGUGAUAUGAAGGUGCUAUAUUGUUUUUUUGAAAAAUUAUUUUUUCCCUAAAUUGUAUGUAUGUUUAGGCUUAAUUUUCUAGGUAUGAAAUAAUGUAUGAUACUUGUGAUUGAGAUGUAUGUAUUUUAUUAAAGAUUAAAUAUUAUAUUUUGUAAGAUUUAUUAUAAAAAUAUGGAUUCUUGUUCUGUGAUAAGGGCAGGGUGCCCUUAUCUUACAAAAUAUCUUACCUAUUUUAAAACUGUCAUGAAGUUAAACCAUGGUAAUUGGAUUCUUGUUCUCAGUAGUCUCAUAUAGUGAAAUGAUGUAUGUUCUAUAGUUAUCCUCCUUGAUCUUUAGAGAAAUACCCUAUUUUUUUCUAGUUAUGUGUUUGAUCUUUCUCAAACUUUUCCUUGACUUCAAAAUUUCCUACAGGGUUGUGGCCGGAAAUUCGUCAGCGUCAUUUCCCUUGCCAAUUAUAGUGGAAUUGAAGCCAAAAAGUGGAAUCAGGUAGCUUUAGAUUCUUUGUCUAUCCCUUUCUAUCUAUACAUGCAUAUUCAAAAAUUACAAAUUUUUGUAUGUUUUUCCAUCUUAAACAACUGUUUUUGCUGCUAGGUUGUUCAUUUUGAAUGUCUUUUAAUAAGCAAAAUAAUAGAGCUGAAAACAAUAAUAUAUUUUUUAAAUCUUAUGGUGGCAAUCCGAAAAUAUUCCUUUCGACACUCUUAUCUUCCUGCUUGCAUCAAAUAUAUUCUACUUAGUAUUCAUUUGUGGCAAAAAAGUUUGAGA